rnacentral:rRNA from 1 species
UACGGGGGGAGCAAGCGUUGUUCGGAUUUACUGGGCGUAAAGGGCGCGUAGGCGGUCAGCACAAGUCAGUUGUGAAAUCUCCGGGCUUAACUCGGAAAGGUCAACUGAUACUGUGCGACUAGAGUGCGGAAGGGGCAACUGGAAUUCUCGGUGUAGCGGUGAAAUGCGUAGAUAUCGGGAAGAACACCUGUGGCGAAGGCGGCUCUCUGGGACGGUACUGACGCUGAGACGCGAAAGCGUGGGGAGCGAACAGG